rnacentral:misc_RNA from 1 species
GGAAGUAAAAAUCGUAACAAGGUUUCCGUAGGUGAACCUGCGGAAGGAUCAUUACUGAGUGAGGGCCCCUCGGGGUCCAACCUCCCACCCGUGUUUAACGAACCUUGUUGCUUCGGCGGGCCCGCCUCACGGCCGCCGGGGGGCAUCUGCCCCCGGGCCCGCGCCCGCCGAAGCCACCUGUGAACGCUGUCUGAAGUAUGCAGUCUGAGACAAUUAUUAAAUUAAUUAAAACUUUCAACAACGGAUCUCUUGGUUCCG